UUUAGUCAUAAAAACUAACAGGAACUCACAUGCUCACUAAAGCUGGGGACCCAAGGCAAUUCCACCUGCAGCUGAAGUUUGACUCCACUAAGCUCUAUCUCCAAUAUCUGUCACAUAUUUUUGUUUUAUUUUGCUUUUUGAGGCUGGGUUUCUCUGCAUAGUCUUGGCUGUCCUGGAACUCACUCUAUGGACCAGGAUGACCUCAAACUCACAAAGACCCACCUACUAUUGCUAGGAUUAAAGAUGAGGAAACCAAGACUCAGCAAAAUUCAAUAACUUCCCUGAGCUUUCACAAUGAGAAGGCAACAGAAGCAGGAUUGGAACCAAAUUGGAUUUCCAAACUCAAAUGACUGAUGAAUGAGCUCCAAUAGUAUUGCAUAUCACCCUAAUGCCUCAAAAGAGCAGAUCAAAGUGUUGGUAAUCCACAGUCUACAAUUGUCGAGUUGUCAGAUCAUCUGUCUUUUUUUUUUUUUCAUACAUUGAUGACAAUAAUUUCAGAUUUGUUAAAUAACAUGCUACAGUUCCAAUGCUUCAUGCCUUUCUUAGAACAUGGGAUAGGAUGUGCUCUGUAUACAAGUUAGCUGGCUCCUUGCCCUUCCUCCUCCUCUCUAUCAGGUUCAUUACUUGGACUGACAAGAGGGCAAGUAAUGGCAUAGGAGAAGUUAGCCUCAAAUGCUUGUUGUUUCUAGAAAGUAUCCAGCAAGUAAUGGCAUAGGAGAAUUUAGCCUCAAAUACUUGUUGUUUCCAGAAAGUAUCUGGCUAAUUUAUUUCAAAAGGCUUUUGCUCCUAUGAAGUUUAAUCGAGUUAGUGCGUAUUAAAGGACUCGCUUAAUCUUCAUCUGAAUGUGAGCAGUAAAUGUGUUUUGGAGAUUAUAUUCAUUCCCCAGUGACUGUGAGUACUUUCCUAUUCUAAAGCUGAUUCUUAUCCUUCAGAGGAAAAGGGUUUCAAUUCUAUGGAGUCACCAAAAUAAAAUACAGAGUCACAAGCAAAGUGGUUGUUUACCCUUUGGUACAGGAACACACCCAGCAAGAGCCACGAUGUGAAGGCUGACUCCUUAAUGAGCCAUCCUUUGUGCUACUCGCCUUCUGAAUAUGUACAAGACUAUGGGUGUCUGCAAAAAGCCUUCAAAAUCACCGGGCUGGGAUAGGGAGCUACCAUCUGUGAGCUGCUGGUAUUCCACUUUGUUGCUUCUAAUGGAAGGCCAGCUUAUCCACUAUGGGUGGAAUUGCUAAGCCCUGUCAGGGGAGAGAUUUUUCCAAAUAAAUUUUAAUGGCUUGGAAUCAAGUUCAAUUCAUGAAAAAAAAAAAAAAACGAAAGACAGGAAAGCUUGCUUGGUAUCAUAUGAGCAAUACUAAACUUUUACAUCCUGUAAGCACGUGGGAUGUACAAGUUGCUGGGAGAGUAUGAAGAAUUUGUGUUCCUCUGCCAGAAGAAAUUCAUCCUAGCAUUAUCUGAGGAAGGUCUUUGAUUUCUUCUCUGUGUUAGUGAAAUAGUCUUGAAUCAGAUAGGAACACAGACGGUCUAGUUACACAAGAACUAGACAGUAAGUUCAAUGGUGUGGGGUGAAAGAUGACUGACCGAUCAAGAAAGAUGGCAGCCAAGGAUGUGUAGUUGCUAUCUCACAUUGGGUCACAUCCUAACAAUUCCCUUCUGAAUUAUGCUUCUAGACACCCCCAGGCUUGUUGAUCAAAUGGAAACAUAUAAUCUAAUAGAUUAAAACAAAGCAAAAUAAAAUAAAAACAAACAAAAUCAAUAAAAACCCACAUAGCCAAAUUCUAGUCUCAGUUGGGAUUAGAACCCAAAUAUUUCUGUGGCCAAUAUUUCUGCGACUUUACUAACUGUUGGCCUAGGGGUGGGAGGUAGGGGAGUCAUACAGUACAAGGUCAGUUCUGUUACCCAUGUGGCCUUGAGCAAAUAAUUUACUCUGUUGAAUAAUCAGUUCCAUCUGCAAAAUACGGAUAAUUACUAUGAUUGACACAUGUUAUUUCAUUGCCAUAAGGAAAAAAUGAGCUAAUACAUUUGCAAGAGCGUUAGAGGCAGAUAAGAGCUACUCAAAUAUAAUUUACGGUCAUUUAUUGAUGGUGAUGAUGACAACGACCGUGACAAUGGUGAUGAUGAUCACUGUAUCACCAAAGACAUCUCAAAGAAUACUUUAAAGUAGUGACACUCUUUAGCAUAAAGAUGUUCAUGGAACAUGCACAGAAUUUGGUAUCUGAGAAGCUGCUGCUUGCCAAGUGGAAGGAUGACUCCAGGUACUAGGGAACCAGGCAAUGUAGGUUGGAAGGAAAUGAUGCCAUGGUCAAGUAUUAUGACCUCAUCUGAGGUGUUAUUAUGGUUAGAGACCAGCAAGAGAGCAAAGGGGAGUGCAGAGGGAAUCCAGAUGAGAUUGCAGUACUGGGCUACAGUGAGAUCUUUUUAUCUUUGUUAGCUGUUGGGUUCAGAUCAUAUUUUUGAACAAUGAGCAAGCAGCCUUAUGUCAAAACCAUCUGGGUCUGCUCAGGGACAGGCUUCCAGCUGCAUGAGAAUGGUGGUGGAGUCUUCAAAUAUUUAUGAACUUCAGAUGCAUGGCCUCUGGAGCUCCAGGAGGUGAAAGCACAUUCCAGAUGCAUAAAGGAUGGGCAACACCACAGGAGGCUCUGGUUCAAACAUCCCCAGUUGAGCAUGAGUUGCUACAGAUGUAAGCAAGAAAAGUCUGGAAGCUUCAGGACAAGUAAGUUUCAGAGUGAUCAGGCUCUGCAAUGAAAAAACACAGAGAUCCUGUCUCCAUGGAUGUGUUUAAGGUGGAUACAGUGUUCCCUUGUGGGACUAUGAGUCGGUCAGUCUGUUGGUUCUUUUUAUGCUUUUAAAAGUUGAACUCCUCAGAGUGAGAGAAAUAGGUUAUCCUUGUUGCCAAAGGUGUUGGAAUUCAUUCCAGCAUCUCACUGGUUUUGUUAUACUAGAAGCAGUUUGUUCCAGCUUGUUGAGAUGGCAGCAAUACCUUUGGCCUGGAACCUGGAUUUGAAGCCCUUGGGCAGACAGGGUUGACAAUGGACUGACUGUAAGAUAAAGUAUCAAAAGGCUACAGUCCACUAAAGGUAAGGAAGCAAAGAAGGGGACCUUUUGUCUUUUCCAACCCACCUGGGGCUUCUCAGAUGUGACUUUGAUCUUCCUAUGACUCUCAUAAGAAGUGUCCCUUCUCCAGACACAUUAUCUCUUCUCUUUUCACACCAGCAUUUUAAAGGUGGAAGAGGGGCACUGGCCCUGUAGAGGCCAUGAGGGUUCAGCUUGCAGAACAGAAGUGGGAAGUAAGGCCUUUUGUGAUUUUAUUUGAGCUGGGCUGCUGGCAGGCAAAAAGGAAGAGACAGUUAAGUGCACUGGGAUGGCCAGAUCACUGAAGGUGAAAGUUGUUCUCACAUCAGAAAGAAGUAUCUCUGGUAGCCCUGAUCAGCAAGGGAGGAGUAUAUAGCUAGUAACAAAUGGGAAAUGUAAGAUCAGUCUUUGUCCGUAAGCAUAAGGUAUGUGAACAUCUUAAAUACCGUCUGUGCAAGACACAGCAAGACAUCAUACCAAUGAUGAUCCCCAAAGAAUGAAGAGCAGAGGACAUGCUUUUUAUAUUCCAGGGUGCAAGUUUUGUCUCCAUUGUACCUUGUGUCUACUCUGCUUUGCAAGUUACAUGAAAACUAUGCACCGACUACAACUUCAGUGUGUCAUAACUUUAGAGAUAGAGCUCAUUUAAUUGCAGUGGCAUUAAGAAACACCUAACAACUGUCUACUGCUUAGGCCCCCUGUUCACAGCUCUUUCUCUAAGGAAAAAGUAUAUAAUUAAUGUGUUACAUCCUUCUAGUAAAUUUCACUCCAUGCCAGAGUUGAUUUCUCAUGUUUCUAGUUGAAGAACCCUGGCUUAUAUUAUUAUUUAUGUUGCCUCCUUUUGUUCAGUUAUUGUUUACUCAGAAUCACCAUCUGCCAAGCAUAAAUGCCAUUUCUGAAGAGCAUAACUCAUGCAUUCAAAAACCAAAGAAUUGAAUAAGGAGACAGAAACAAGUAAUAUGAAGUGCUACAGUGAGGAAUUAGGUGAGUUUUAGGAAAGCAGAGGAGGUGUGAGCAGCUUAGACUUCAUGGAAUCAGAGAAUUCUUCCCAAAGAGAAGAUGCUUUGGUUAUGUGUUGAUGGAUGAAAGAAGUCAGUACAGACACAGAACAGUGAAGAUAUAGAUGCAGGACAAUUGUGAGGUAUCUCCAUCAUAUUACCUUGAACAAUCUUGGAAAGGCCUUCACGAAUGUGUUCCGAAAAAUACAUGAGGAGGUUGGAAAUUAGACAUCAGGGCCAGGAUAUAUACAGCAGUUCCUUUCUGUUACAUGAACCAUAGAUUGAUUUCUCAGUUUCCAUUACCUGCCAUGGUGACCGCCAUACUCUGAAAAAAUGAAGUAGAAAAGUCUACAAAUGAGAAAUUCACGUUUUAAUUCUGUUGUAUUGAAUAUUUAUAAUGACCUCUUACACAGUGCUGUGUCGCAUGGGAUUUGCAUUAGCCCUCUGUUCGGUAUAGCCACCCUGUAUACAUUAUCCACCUACCCGUUCCAGUAAAUCUUCACUGACAACUUGAGGGCAUUUUAAAUCACUUAGAGGUAUACCUCUGGGCAUGUCUGUGAGGGCAUUUCUAGGAAGGUUUAACCUAAGAGGGAUGAGCCAUUAUGGAUGAGAGCUGGAGAUCCAGUGUGAAUCAAAAUGUAAGAGUGAACUGAGCAUCAUCAUUCAUCUCUUUCUGCUUCCUGGUUAUGGAUGCAAUUGGACCAGCUGCCUCAUACUCCUCCUGCCCCAGAGAGAACUUUUGGGACCACCUCACCUUCCCUUUCGGAAUGGAACUGUGAACUCAAACACAGUUUAACUUUCUUUGGUCAAAUCGCUUUUCUCGGGUAUUUUGUCAUAACAGUGAGAAAAAAAAAAUAACAUACGUUAUCCAUUAGUCUCUAAAUAGACAAAUUCGUUAUUGAUAGUCUCUGUAUCAAACUGUUUAUUUCCAUGUAGGCUUAGUACAAUAUUUUUGUUUUAUUUUUAGUCAUUAAAAUCAAUAUCUUCCUAAACCAAUCUAUAUACUAAACUCUGUAUUAGGUAUGUAUAAUCACACAAAAGUGGAAGAAAAGAAAAGAACUGAUGUUACAAUGUUGUCCUCUGGCAUCAACACAGGUGCCAUUCCCCAACACACACACACAC